ensembl:lncRNA NOP14-AS1 NOP14 antisense RNA 1
GCGGGUCGCUGCUUGGCUGUGGGUUAGCAGCACCCUGAGCGGAGCGGAAGAGCUGCCCGCCGCCGCGUAACCCCGAGGCCGAGACUCCUGGCCUGGCCUCCUUGGGCCCACGACGCCUGCCCCGCGGAGCGGACCCAUGGGCCUGAGGUUUGUGUGCGGGGCCUCAGGCGAGCGCUGGCGCAGCCUGUCCCCCAUCGUCUGCGCCCUGCGGGCCUGGCCCUCCCCGUGGAAGGACCGCGGGCUUCGGGGCCCCACGCUGGGGGGCUGACUCCUGCCACACACACAGCGGUGGCCGCGGGCCUGGGGCGGCAGCACAGCCAUUCUGCUCGGGCUGCGUGAGCUGACCCCGCUCUCUGUGCACCUACUUUUGCUGCGUUUGGUGCUGAGCCUGAAGUCCCAGGACAGGCGGCUGAGGGGGAAAGAUGGUGUGAAUUGGGUGGGCAGAGACAACUGAAAGCCACAGGACCCGGUUGGCACCUUUUUGGCCGCCUGCGCCUUUGCCUGCAGCCCCGCUCCCUGGGUCACCCGAAGGAGGAGCUGGCGCUCUUUCCGGGCGCAGAAGCACCCGACCCACGCUGGAGGAAACGGUCCCUCUGGGCAGGAGAAGCUUUGGGCCUGGCUGGAGCACACUCACGGAACCACGCCAACGCCUGGCCUGUAGCCAGCUCCCACCUCCCCUCCCACCUUCUAAAAUGCUUGCGGAUCUCACGUGGCCGACCCUAACCAGAUACACAUGGGGAAAGGAAUCAGGUGGCACACAUACCGCCUUUACUCCAUAGAGAACUUCCAAUUGUGGGUAAGAACAAAGCCCCACCUCUUCCUAAUAGAUGCAGUUUUCCACCUGCAGCCAAAAAGACAACCUGUUAUUAGCUUUUUUCCCAGAGGACAGGCAUCUCUAUGAAACUGCCAUUGCAAAAUUUGCCGACAGUGAGAUAACCAGCUCCAUUUUGCUUCUAACCUCCAUGCCCUCCUUGUUUACUGCUGCACGCAGGUUGAACUGUGGGAGGAACUUAGUUUAAAACAAAGAUGAUAACAGCCCUUUCCCAAAGGAAACCUUUCCUGGGGAUUAGCCUGCUUUUGUGGGACCAACAGAUUAGCCACAAGAUUAGAAACUACGGUUGAAGAGUCACGCAGCGGGAGGCUACAGGAUUCUGACCCUCCCCAAACUGCUCCUGGCGAUAACAUCACCAUCGUAAAGCCUAAGAUCAGCACUUGGUGGGUCACCUGGCACCACCCAGGCUCAUCUGAUGUUGUGGCACCCAGGAACUGACUCAGUGCGAAAACAGCUUCGACUCCCUGUGAUUUCAUCUCUGACCUGACCAAUGGGUACUUCUGACUCACUGGCUGCCCCCCACCCACCAGCUUAUCUUUAAAAACUCCAAACCCCAGAUGCUCAGGGAGACCGAGUAAUAAUAAAACUCCAGUCUCCCACACAGCUAGCUCUGCGUGAAUUACCUUUUCUCUGUUGCAAAUGCCCUUUCUUGAUAAAUUGGCUGUCUAGGUAACAGGGAAGGUGAACCCACUGGGCAGUUACACUUUUAUCCACCCUUCCAGCUGGAUCACGCGCCCUCUUCAAUGACAUGACACGCAGCUAGAGUGUAUGAGCUUGCUGCCGGCACCUUCCGUCCUGGAUCGCAUAGCAAGGCCUCAAUGGACAGCCAGGUGCCUGGUCCGGUCCCACUUUUUUUUCUGUCCUGUUCUCGUUUCCUCUUUGCUUGGCCAAAGAGGGUUGGGCCAGGGUCCUGAGUGCAAAGGCUUGGCUUGGUGAAUUAAAGUGGCAGUAGCCGUGUGGCAGAGAAAAUUUGUAGAUGGGUGAAAUCCUGGGCCUACACAGUGACAAAGUGUAUAUAGACAGCCAGCCUAGUUGGUGGAUGUGACAACCCCAGACUCUUCUAGAUUUGUGGAUCCGUGCACCUGCCAGACCUGUCUCUGAGCCAUCUGGGGAGGCUGGGUAAGAUUUCCCCCGUCAGGGCCUGAGCCUCAUCUCCAAGCUGCUGGCUUCAGCCCAGCUGCCACCAGCGCUGUCUCUGUCUUGCGCUUUCCAGAGAGAGACUGACUCAUUUUGAGCUCCAGGCCUACCAGGCAGCCCAACCGCGGCAGUAACUGCCUCUCACACUGAGGAUGGCUCAUGCUCUGGUCCAGCCAUGGCUUGAACACCUCCCAACAAGAACAAAGCCAGACUCAUUCUCCCUAGCAUCUUCUUCCUUGCUCAAAGAUCCCACACCCCGUUAGAAGCUGGAACUGGGUCCUUGUCACCUUCCUCACCUCCCCAGUCGUAGUCUGGUUAAUCCUUACAUCUCACCACGGUCACCGUGGCUAGAUGUGACCUCCGCGAUGCUUCAGGCACGUACCAGGGCAGCCUGGGCAGGGCUGGUCACUGUGAUCUCAUGAGGUGUGAACUUGACCCCGGCCUUCUUUCCUGGGAUGCCGGCUAAGGACACAAGUUCAGUGUUUGCCCUGGCUUGUAGCCCAGCGGGGGCUCCGUCAUCCCCUGGGGAAUGCCUCGGCCUGCAAGACCGCAUACCGCAUUGGAACAGGGAAACCACCUACUUCAGCACCUCCCUCAGCAAGGUGGCAGGUCCCAACAAGCCUUGCACCACGAGGAAGUGGCAGUGGCAUUCGGGAUAUGGCUCCCUGGCCAGCUUGUGAAGUUCAAGGGGCUCGUUACUUCUUACAGCUCACAGUCCCUCCCGGGUCCAGCACACCUGAGGGCUGACCUCCCUCUUGAUUAGUGCAGGGGAAAAGCACUUUAAAAAGCUGUGUCAUGCGUAACUUGCACAUCUUCUGAUUCUGACCUGAAACUGCAUCCCAGGUCGGCACAGACGCAACCCAGUCUCCUCCCACCUCCGAGAGUGCAGUGUCCUGAAUGGAGAACCCCAGCACCCAGAAGCAUCCACUGAAGGACGUACUUCUUUGAUAGUGCCUCCAUGCAUGCAGAAGAUGACGUGGAGAGCUCCGCGCGGCACAGGGCAGGAAGCUGGUGUGCACUCUCAUGGAUCCGAAGCCAACACACGCCUCUCAACUGAGGACUCUGCCCCUCUGGCAUUCUUCCAGCCACCAGCCCUGGGGGCCAGGAGCCACUGAGUGGGUCACACAGCCUUAGAGGGCAACGAGGGCAGGAGCUCGCCCUGGCGGUCCCCAUGCAGACAAGAGGUACACACUCCCUGGCAUGCAAAGCCACCCAACUGGGUUUCACUGAAGGGUGAGGGGCGGGGUGUCUACCGUGCUUUCCAAAUACCGCUCAGUCACCCAGAGCUUGAAACUUACAAUGAGCCACCCCAUCCCAGCCACAAAUCUAAAG